rnacentral:rRNA from 1 species
GACCUCGGAUCAGGUGAGGAUACCCGCUGAAUUU